AUGGAGCUCCUCUUGUUUUGCACAACAGUUUUCAUCCUCAUCAUCUCCUCUCUAUACCUCUUAGGCCUCUUGGCCGGCCGUCGUCGCAAGCUGCCCCCGGGUCCUUGCCCGCUGCCACUCGUCGGCAACCUCCUCUCCCUGGGCGCACUACCACACCGCACCCUCGCGCGCCUCGCAGAGCGCCACGGCCCGAUCAUGGCGAUCCGCCUAGGCACGGUAACCACCAUCGUCGCCUCCUCCCCAGAUGCCGCCCGUGACAUCCUCCAGCGCCAUGACGCAGCUUUCUCGGGGCGCUCCAUCCCAGACGGCACCCACGUGUUUGCGCACAACACACACUCCAUGGGCUGGCUUCCGGCCAGCAGCCCCCGGUGGCGUGCCCUACGCAAGGUGUGCUCAGGUGAGCUCUUCGCGCCGCACCGUCUCGACAUGCACCAGUCUCUGCGCCAGGAGAAGGUGCAGCAACUCGUCUCCCACGUGACGCAGCUGGCACGAGAGGGCACACCCGUUCGCGUCGGCCGCCUCGGCUUUACAACUGCACUUAACCUGCUCUCCUCCACCAUCUUCUCAACCGAGCUAGCCGUCCUCGACGACCGCCAUGUCAAGCCUUCGGACUUCAAGGACAUGCUCGCAGAGCUAAACAUGACCGUCGGAUUGCCAAACCUAUCGGACUUCAUCCCUGAAGUGGCGUGGCUAGACCUGCAGGGCCUGAGGAGACGCAUCGAGGGCUUGUUCACGCGGCUGCAUGCCAUGAUCGCCGAGCGGAUCGAGCGUCAGAUUCGGGACCACGCGGCCGCCGCAGGUGAGGCGCCCAAGAAAAACUUCCUGGACGUGCUGCUUGAGUAUCGCAACACCGACGAUGACCGGGGCUUCGAGCGCCAGACGCUCCUCUCAUUGAUUUCGGACUUGUUCAGCGCCGGGACGGAUACAAGUUCAGCCACCGUAGAAUGGGCGAUGGCAGAGCUGCUACUGAAUCCAUCAUGCAUGUCGAGAGCCCGCGAAGAGCUCGACCAAGUGAUAGGCUCUAAAGAGCACGUUGAGGAGUCCGACAUCGGACAGCUCAAGUACCUCCAAGCCAUCGUGAAGGAGACGUUCCGUCUACAUCCUCCGGCGCCGUUCCUGCUGCCGCACGUGGCGGAGAGGACGACACAGGUCCGGGGAUACACGGUUCCCCAGGGCGCGCGCAUUCUGGUGAACGUGUGGGCCAUUGGACAUGACGGCAAGGUAUGGUCCGAACCGGAAAAGUUCAUGCCGGAGAGGUUCCUGGAGAAGGAGGUGGACUUCAAGGGCCGAGACUUCGAGCUCCUGCCCUUUGGGUCCGGGAGGAGGAUGUGUCCGGGGUGGAUGCUGGCCGCUCGCAUGGUUCAUCUCAUGCUCGCGUCCUUGCUGCAUCGCUUUGAGUGGAGGCUUCCCGUACAUGUGGAGAAGAAGGGGCUGGACAUGGGUGAAAGGCUUGGGGUGAACUUGUCCAUGGCUACGCCCCUUGAGGCUAUAGCCACGCCAGUUUGA
rnacentral:rRNA from 1 species